rnacentral:rRNA from 1 species
UACGUAGGGACCAAGCGUUGUUCGGAUUUACUGGGCGUAAAGGGCUCGUAGGUGGCCAACUAAGUCAGACGUGAAAUCCCUCGGCUUAACCGGGGAACUGCGUCUGAUACUGGAUGGCUUGAGUUUGGGAGAGGGACGCGGAAUUCCAGGUGUAGCGGUGAAAUGCGUAGAUAUCUGGAGGAACACCGGUGGCGAAGGCGGCGUCCUGGACCAACACUGACACUGAGGAGCGAAAGCCAGGGGAGCAAACGGG